rnacentral:misc_RNA from 1 species
AAAUUUGGUUUUUUUUUUUUUUUUUUUCCCCUAUUUAUUUAUUAUUUGGGGGGGUUUUUCCCCUGGUGGGGGCCCCCCUUAAAAAAAAGGGGGGUUUUGGGGGGGGGCCCCCCGGGAUUUUCAAAAGGUUUUUUUUUUACCGUUUUUAUGCCUUAUUUCCGGAGACCCCGCGAUGAAUUGGGCCCCGCCGGGAGGCCCGGGCCGCCCCAACCACCAGGCGGGGUUGGUGAAAUACGCUGAACAGCAUGCCGCCGAAUAGCGCGGCGCAAUGGCUUUAAAGAUUGAUGAUUCAGUGAAUUCUGCAAUUCACCAUUACUUAUCGCAUUUCGCUGCUUCUUUCAUCGAUGCCAGAACCAAGAGAUCCGUUGUGAAAGUUUUGAUUAUUUGUCUUUCAGGCUCAGAGAUACUGGAAAAAAUAAGAGUUUUGAACCUCCGGCGGCGUGCCCGCCGAAGCAACGACAGAGGUUAUGUUCACAGGGUUGGAGUUUUUCAACUCAGUAAUGAUCCUUGAACCUGCGGAGGGAUCAUUACUGAGUUGAAAAACUCCAACCCCUGUGAACAUAACCUCUGUCGUUGCUUCGGCGGGCACGCCCGCCGGAAGGUUCAAAACUUCUUAUUUUUUCCAGUAUCUCUGAGCCUGAAAGACAAAUAAUCAAAACUUUCAACAACGGAUCUCUUGGUUCUGGCAUCGAUGAAGAACGCAGCGAAAUGCGAUAAGUAAUGUGAAUUGCAGAAUUCAGUGAAUCAUCGAAUCUUUGAACGCACAUUGCGCCCGCCGGUAUUCCGGCGGGCAUGCCUGUUCGAGCGUCAUUUCAACCCUCAAGCCUCGGCUUGGGUGUUGGGGCCUGAAUACACUCUGCGCCUCUCCGCUCUUCGUGUAACCCUGGGUCGCCCGACUUAUAUCAACCGCCUAUCCUUCACGGCAGCCUGUCGAACCCUCCUUAGUUUCACAAAUCCUGACGGGGGACUCCGUCCCGCCGGGUCAACAUCCUUGGCUAUUUCCACGAAACGUGGAAGUUCCCGUUGGGAAAAACCCCCCACCAGCCAAGGCCUUCCCCAAAUAAAUUUACCUAACCCCGGUUCCGCCUUUUACCCAAAGGGCCCUAAAGGGAAAAAUGGGGGUUUCCGAAAAAAAAUCUUUUUAAUUCCCGAAUUUACCCCCCGGGCCCCAAAAGGAAAAUUUUUUUGGGCCCAAAAAAAAAAAACCUGGGUUCCCCCGGCCUUUAGCCCCGGGGGGGAAAUUUUUUAAGGGGGUUUUUUAACCCCUUUUAAACCCCCCAAAAGUUAAAAAAACCCCCCCCCUUUCCCCUUUUUGGGGAAAAGGGUUCCCCCCCCCCCCCCCCGGGGAAAAAAAAUUUUCCCCCCCCCCCUUGGGGAAAACCCCCCGGUUAAAAAGCCAAAAAAAGGCCCCCGGUUUUUUUUUUUUAACCCCCCCGGGGGGACCCCCAAAAAAAAGGAGGGGGGUUCCCAAAAGGGGUUCCGGGGCCCCCCCCCCCCCCAAUUUUUUAAUUUUUCCCCCCCCAAUGGCCCCCCCGGAAAAAAAAGAAUAAAAAAAAUUUUUUUAAAAAAAAAAAAACCCCCCCCCCAAAAAAAAAAAAAAAACCCCCAAGGGACCCCCCCCCCCCCCCCUGGGGAAAAAAAAUUUUUGGGCCCCUUUAAAAAAACCCCGGGUUUUAAAUCUUAACCCCCUUAACCAAAAAAAAAAACCCCCCCGGAAUUUUCCCUUCCCCCCCCUUUUUUUCCCCCCCCGGGGGCCCGGGGCCCCCAGUUUCCCGGGAAAAAAAAAAAGGGGCCCCCCAAAAUUAAAAAAAACCGAACCCUUGGUUUUUUUUUCCCCCGGGGAAAAAGGGGGAUUUUUUCCCCCCCCCCCCCUCGGGGGGGCCCCUUCCCCCGGGGCCCCCCUUUUUUAAACCCAAGGGGGUAAAAAUUUUAACCUUCCCCUUUUGCCCCCCCCCCCCGGGGGGGGGCCCCCCCCUUUUUUCCGGGGGGGGUUUUUAAACCCCCCCGUGGGGUUUUAAAACCCCUUUUUUUGGCCCCCGGUUU